UGGGGAAUAUUGCGCAAUGGGGGAAACCCUGACGCAGCAACGCCGCGUGAAGGAUGAAGGUUUUCGGAUUGUAAACUUCUUUGACGAGGGACGAUAAUGACGGUACCUCGAAAACAAGCCACGGCUAACUACGUGCCAGCAGCCGCGGUAAUACGUAGGUGGCGAGCGUUGUCCGGAUUUACUGGGUGUAAAGGGCGAGUAGGCGGGAUUGCAAGUCAGUAGUGAAAUACCACGGCUCAACUGUGGGGCUGCUAUUGAAACUGCGAUUCUUGAGUGAUGGAGAGGCAGGCGGAAUUCCCGGUGUAGCGGUGAAAUGCGUAGAGAUCGGGAGGAACACCAGUGGCGAAGGGGGCUUUCUGGACGAUAACUGACGCUGAGGCGCGAAAGCGUGGGUAGCAAACAGG
rnacentral:rRNA from 2 species